rnacentral:rRNA from 1 species
GACGAACGCUGGCGGCGUGCCUAACACAUGCAAGUCGAGCGGGCCUCCGGAGGUGCAUGCACCUCCGGAAGGCCAACGGCGGACGGGUGAGUAACACGUGGGCAACCUGCCUUUGAGGCCGGGAGAACACCGGGAAACCGGUGCUAAUACCGGAUGCGUCCCCUUUCGCGCCUGCGACAGGGGACAACGACGGUCUUUAAGGCCGUUGCUCAGAGGGUGGCCCGCGGCGCAUUAGCUGGUUGGUGGGGUAAGGGCCUACCAAGGCGACGAUGCGUUGCCGACCUGAGAGGGUGAUCGGCCACACUGGGACUGAGACACGGCCCAGACUCCUGCGGGAGGCUGCAGUAGGGAAUCAUCCGCAAUGGGCGAAAGCCUGACGGUGCAACGCCGCGUGAGUGAGGAAGGUUUUCGGAUCGUAAAGCUCUGUUGUGAGGGAAGAACAGCUUCCGGAGGAAAUGCCGGAGGUUUGCCGGUACCUCACCAGAAAGCCCCGGCUAACUACGUGCCAGCCGCCGCGGUAA